GGAGCUCUUCUCCUCCGGCCCGACGAUUUGAAACUGAGAACUUGAGUUGAGCCAAGCCCAGGUGAACGAUGGCGAAGGCUGUCUUACAUGCUGUAUAUUACAAGAGAAAGAGAGAGGCAGCGGGAGAGAGAAAGAAAGGAAAACGUUUAAGAAGAAGAAAUAGGUGAGACAGAGGUGGAAGAAAAGGUAGACUCUCGGCAGAAAUCGGCUUGACUCGGUUCCCCGGCGCCGGCCAAGAGAAACGGGCGGAACUUGAGGAUAAUACGAUGCUAUUCUGAGAAUCUCAGCAGGAAGAUGCUCAAAAAAGGAAAAAGGAAAAUUUUAUUGCAAUGAGUAACUAUUCAAGUUAGAGAUUUGUUGAAAAUCUUGGAGAGAUCAAUGAGAGGAUAAGAACUAUCAUUCUUCUAUUACCAUCAAUACGGAUGAUUCAGGGAUUGAUCAUUAUUGGAAUAAAUUGUUGGAAAAAAUAUAAUAAUUAAUACUAGAUCAGAACGAAAAGAGGUGUGGAGAAGGAGAGUAAAAGAGAGAAGACGAAGGAAUGCAGGCGAAUGAGGCCGCUACCGUUGAAGGUAAACUGCUGUUGUGGUGUGUGCCGCUGGCUAAAUCUUUCCUUUAGCCUCUCCCUUAGAUCUGCCAUGUAACUUGUGCUCCAUACCGUUUACAUUCUCAGGUGACUAAUUCAUGCUGAUGCAGUUAUGUAUUUACG